UAGGGAAUCUUCGGCAAUGGGCGAAAGCCUGACCGAGCAACGCCGCGUGAAUGAUGAAGGCCUUCGGGUUGUAAAAUUCUGUUAUAAGGGAAGAACGACUUUAGUAGGAAAUGGCUAGAGUGUGACGGUACCUUAUGAGAAAGCCACGGCUAACUACGUGCCAGCAGCCGCGGUAAUACGUAGGUGGCGAGCGUUAUCCGGAAUUAUUGGGCGUCAAGAGGGCGCAGGUGGUUGAUUAAGUCUGAUGUGAAAGCCCACGGCUUAAACGUGGAGGGUCAUUGGAAACUGGUCGACUUGAGUGCAGAAGAGGGAAGUGGAAUUCCAUGUGUAGCGGUGAAAUGCGUAGAGAUAUGGAGGAACACCAGUGGCGAAGGCGGCGUCCUGGUCUGUAACUGACACUGAGGCGCGAAAGCGUGGGGGGCAAACA
rnacentral:rRNA from 1 species